GGUGCCGGAAGGCUCAAGCGGAAGGGAUUUGAGGGGCAGGCGAGGGUCGAAACGCAUUUACCCUUCGUUAAGGAAACAAUUUAAUCGGCUCUUAACCAUAAUUUAAACGGUGCCUCCUAAGAAUUGGGGAAAGACGGUCGUUCUCCAAGUUGCAUCAUGCCGUUUCGUCGCCGGCUUUUUGCUUAUCUAAGGAAGGUACUCAAAUGUCCGAAAUCGUUCUUACGGCG
rnacentral:misc_RNA from 1 species